AACGAACGCUGGCGGCAGGCCUAACACAUGCAAGUCGAACGCCCCGCAAGGGGAGUGGCAGACGGGUGAGUAACACGUGGGAACCUUCCCUAUAGUACGGAAUAGCCCAGGGAAACUUGGAGUAAUACCGUAUACGCCCGAAAGGGGAAAGAAUUUCGCUAUAGGAUGGGCCCGCGUAGGAUUAGCUAGUUGGUGAGGUAAUGGCUCACCAAGGCGACGAUCCUUAGCUGGUUUGAGAGAACGACCAGCCACACUGGGACUGAGACACGGCCCAGACUCCUACGGGAGGCAGCAGUGGGGAAUAUUGGACAAUGGGCGCAAGCCUGAUCCAGCCAUGCCGCGUGAGUGAUGAAGGCCUUAGGGUUGUAAAGCUCUUUUGGCGGGGACGAUAAUGACGGUACCCGCAGAAUAAGUCCCGGCUAACUUCGU
rnacentral:rRNA from 1 species